AUUAUUUAAGAGCUUUACAUUGUGAGUAAAUAAAAAUUAUGAAAGCAAAAAAUUAUGGCGGUAUUUUAAGCUUUUCAGAGGAAUUUGCUCUUUAAUGGAUAAAACACCUAAAUCUUACUUAAAUUUGUUAUUUCAAUUUGUAUACCACUAUAAAAACAAUUUAUAACUCUAAUUGUUAAAAUUUACUAUAUUAAAAUAUAUUAAGUCAAGGUGCAGUAAAAAUUUAAGGAUGAAGUGAAUUACAUUACUUUUUAGGGAAAAAAAUUAAAAUAAUAUUUAGGAUUUGAAAGUAAAAUUAAAAUAAAAUGUUAAUUUGAAUUAAGCUCUAAAAUAUGUAC
rnacentral:rRNA from 1 species